rnacentral:rRNA from 1 species
CCUACGGGAGGCUGCAGUGAGGCAUAUUGGUCAAUGGACGAGAGUCUGAACCAGCCAAGUAGCGUGAAGGAUGACUGCCCUAUGGGUUGUAAACUUCUUUUAUAUGGGAAUAAAAUGUUCCACGUGUGGGAUUUUGUAUGUACCAUAUGAAUAAGGAUCGGCUAACUCCGUGCCAGCAGCCGCGGUAAUACGGAGGAUCCGAGCGUUAUCCGGAUUUAUUGGGUUUAAAGGGAGCGUAGGUGGAUUGUUAAGUCAGUUGUGAAAGUUUGCGGCUCAACCGUAAAAUUGCAGUUGAAACUGGCAGUCUUGAGUACAGUAGAGGUGGGCGGAAUUCGUGGUGUAGCGGUGAAAUGCUUAGAUAUCACGAAGAACUCCGAUUGCGAAGGCAGUUCACUGGACUGCAACUGACACUGAGGCUCGAAAGUGUGGGUAUCAAACAGGAUUAGAUACCCGAGUAGUC